rnacentral:rRNA from 1 species
GACGAACGCUGGCGGCGUGCUUAACACAUGCAAGUCGAACGGAAAGGCCCUGCUUUUGUGGGGUGCUCGAGUGGCGAACGGGUGAGUAACACGUGAGUAACCUGCCCUUGACUUUGGGAUAACUUCAGGAAACUGGGGCUAAUACCGGAUAGGAGCUCCUGCUGCAUGGUGGGGGUUGGAAAGUUUCGGCGGUUGGGGAUGGACUCGCGGCUUAUCAGCUUGUUGGUGGGGUAGUGGCUUACCAAGGCUUUGACGGGUAGCCGGCCUGAGAGGGUGACCGGCCACAUUGGGCCUGAGAUACGGCCCAGACUCCUACGGGAGGCAGCAGUGGGGAAUAUUGCACAAUGGGCGGACGCCUGUUGCAGCAACGCCGCGUGCGGGAUGACGGCCUUCGGGUUGUAAACCGCUUUCGCCUGUGACGAAGCGUGAGUGACGGUAAUGGGUAAAGAAGCACCGGCUAACUACGUG